rnacentral:sRNA from 1 species
ACCAUGUAAGAAGUGCUUUUCACCUCCCGCCAUGAUUCUGAGACCUCCCUAGCCACAUGGAACUAACCGGGACAUCAGAGGAAGAAAAUCAGCAGGCAGAAAAAUAUUGGGGAAAAAAAUGCCACGUGGUUCUGUUCAGCUGAGCUUCUGCUCCCUCCAGCACCCCCACGUGGGACAUUUGUUUACCCCCCAUGAUGCUGCUCUUGGGAGAGUCCCAGGGGACAGGUUUCAAGCCCUUGGAGAUGCAGCCUGUCUAACUUAAUAUGCACAGCCGUUCACAUCCAGGGCACAGAGGCAGCCUGGCUUUCCCUGGAGGCCCACGGGAACCACAAUGCUGCAUUUGUCUGUGGAACUGAGAUUUAGCUGCACAUUCUUGCCUGAAUGCAGCAGGCCUCCAGCCACAGCUUGCUGGCAUGGGGGAUUCCAGGAGGGAUGUGCUUCAUGAGCCGGCAUUUGCUCUUCUUUCCAGUCCCCAGACCCAGCCAAGAUUAUAGAUAGAUGUGCUCAUCACGCACAGGUGCUGGGGAAGCCAGUGGGACAUCACUGGCUACAUUCACCAACAGGAUUUUCCAACUUCAGUAUUCAUCGGUUUUUCAAACAAAUUCAACAUCUGUAUUCCUCACCCAUUUACUGAGUGGCUACAAUGUGUAAGGCAAUAUUCUCAGUCAGGGGGAGUUAGAAAAGGUCAAAGGCAUAUAAGAUAUGGCAUGUACUCUGAGAGAACUCAUAAUCUAUCCAGAACCUACUCAUCACAUUUGGAAAGAGAAGAGAAACUAGCAUUCAAUGGAGUACUUACUAUGUGCCAGAUCUGGAGUGAGGCAUAGUACAAGUGUUACUCACUUACAUCUCAUGGCCAACCUCCAAUGGGGACAUUUAGCAUCUCCAUCUUACAAAUGAGAAAUUUCACUGUAGAGAGGUUAAAUAUCAUGUGUCAUUGAUUCCGUGACAUGUAUUAUUUUCACAUUUGAACAUCUGAAAUAUAGAUAUGUCUAAAAGGGCUUUUCUUUCUUGGUAGUAAGAUAACUGUAGGUCUUUGCAGUAGUGUCUUAGAUUCUGUGAAAUAUGGCAUUUUGGCAAGUGUACAUGGCUAAGAACAAGUGGAAUCAGAAUUCAACUUAAGUUUGCCUGACUCCAAAGCUUAUGUGUUUUCCAGUAUAAUGUGCUGCAGUAUCAAUGGUCUGUGUGAACAAAGGCCAUAUCAUUUUUAUUGAGAAAGUAUAAAAAUGGGGAAAUGGUGACUGAACUGGAACUUGCAUCAUCUAAUUCCAUAACUGAGGAGACAAUAGCCUGGGGACUGCAUGUAUCCCACAGGAUGUUAAAAAAUUGAGAAAAUGUUAUUUCAUGGUCUUCACUUCUCUGUUGAUUAUAACUUAUUUUUGAAGAGGGCAAAAUAAAUGGCAAACUCUUGUAUGGAUAACAUAUAAAA